rnacentral:lncRNA from 1 species
AUGACUAAAUCUGUUUUAGUGUGGUCCUUGGAACAUCAUAUAUAGCUCCAAAAUAUGUAGAAUUGUCAAGCUUGGAACACCAUAGCAUCAUAGCUCCAAAAUCUGCAGUUGGAGCCGAGCUGAUUCUUAUAUACACCGACCUAUCUAGAAAUCUCAGAGCCUCUAAUUACACCGACCUACUUACACCGAUAAAAGCGUCUAUCUACAAAUCUGGAAGCCUCUAUAUAUACCGAAAUUCGCUGUCCCUGGUUAUCGGGUUUGGUUGUCGAUCAAAGCUUUCAUAGAGUUUGAUAACGUUGACUCUUCCAGAUUAUCAGGUUUGGUGAUUGAUCAAAGCUUGAUACAUUUUGGGUUCUUGAUACCGUUACCUCUUCAAGAUUAUCAGAUAAAGAGAGGGAGAAGAGAACGAGGGAAGAAGAAGAAGAGAGAUUAGAAACUCUUGCUUGCUUGAAGAGAAAACAAGUAGACGGUUUUGUUUCUUAUUACUGUUUCUAAUUCAAGUGAUUACUGUUCAGAAGAUUUGUGUUUCAGGAAAGCCUUGAAGGAGCUUAAUCAUAUGAUUCAGCACCAAAUUACUCCAUUUUACUGGAGCUCAGGGAGUCAGGGCUGAGAAGAGAAGGGUCUGUUUUUGACCACAGAACUAUUAAAUAUGUUCUUGCAAUUUUAGAGAACAGAGUAUGAAAUGGGAGGAAAACAUCAGUCAAUUAUCUUUCUCAUGCAAUGUGCUCAAUGAGAAGAUGAGAAAACACUAAAAUAAGAUGUAGUUUAAUUCCUUCAGCACAAAACUGUCGGUGUGUAUAUAUUUUGGAUAUAGGCAUGCAUGAUCAAAACUUUCCUUGAUAUCUUAUUACAAAUUCAUUCUCUGUCAUCUUCUCUGUCUUAUAGCAAAGUGAGUGUUCAUCUACCUUCAUUCACACUACACAGAAAUUUUGUUUCAAAAUAGUUCAAGUGCAGGAUAUGUUUAACAUUAAGUUCUCCAGUUCUCC